rnacentral:sRNA from 1 species
UCUGAGGACGUCCCGCUGGACCACCGCGUUCAUGCCCGCAUCAUCGGUGCCCGCGGCAAAGCCAUUCGCAAAAUCAUGGACGAAUUCAAGGUGGACAUUCGCUUCCCACAGAGUGGAGCCCCGGACCCCAACUGCGUCACUGUGACGGGGCUCCCAGAGAAUGUGGAGGAAGCCAUCGACCACAUCCUCAACCUGGAGGAGGAAUACGUGAGUCUGGGUGGUUCUUGGAGCCCCGAGGCGCCCUGGCACGUCCACCGGCCUGAGGCCCAGCCAGGAGCUUCAGGGGACAAGCUGGCUGACGUGGUGGACAGUGAGGCGCUGCAGGUAUACAUGAAACCCCCAGUGCACGAAGAGGCCAAGGCGCCUUCCAGAGGCUUCGUGGUGCGGGACGCACCCUGGGCCGCCAGCAGCAGUGAGAAGGCUCCUGACAUGAGCAGCUCUGAGGAAUUUCCCAGCUUUGGGGCUCAGGUGGCUCCCAAGACCCUCCCUUGGGGCCCCAAACGAUAAUGAUCAAAAAGCAGAAACCUCUCCAGCCUGCUGACCCGAACCCAACCACACAAUGGUUUGUCUCAAUCUGACCCAGCGGCUGGAUCCUCCGUAAAUUGUUGACGCUCUUCCCCCUUCCCGAGGUCCCACAGGGAGCCUAGCGCCUGGCUCUGUGCGGC